AUAUAUUUUUAAGGAGAAACUUCAAAUAUCCCAUAUAGUUUCGUACUUUCUCAUUUUAGUACCCUAUGGUUUAAAGUAUAUCAAGUUAGUAUCUAUGAUUUCGUACUUUUUCACUUUAGUACCUGUGGUUUCAAGUAUAUCAAGUUAGUGCCAUGUGGUUUCGCACUUUCUCACUUUAGUACCCUGUGGUUUAAUAUUUCGGUAAAUUAUAUAUCCCAAAAUAGAUAAUAAAAAGAUAAAAUGAAACCCACAGGAUACUAAGUUGAUACAAAAAUAAAAUCACGGGGUACUAACUUGAUACACUUGAAAACAUAUAGUACUAUAGUGAGAAAGUGCAAAAUUACAGGGUGCUAAAUGGAUACACUUUAAACUAUAGGGUACUAAAGUGAGAAAGUGCGAAACCACACUUAGCUGGAAAUGUGAAUCAACUAGGAUUCGAACUUGGGUCUCAGGUACCAACCAUCAAGCCAUUUGCCACUUGCUUUAUGGACGGUCGGUGUGAUAGAAAAUAUUUUUGCUUUGACAUUUUC
rnacentral:lncRNA from 1 species